UUCCAGCCAUUCUGCCCGCCACCCACACGCGAGAGGGAUGAGGACGACGGCGAUCAGGGUUUGAGCUUGAGCUCCUACCCUCCGCGGCGGCUCCCUCUGCUAUCGUCAGCCUUCUUGGCCCGCACGCAAUCAAAGCGGCAAACCACCGUCGCGCUGCGACCAACCUCUCCGCCACCGGAUCCGCCGUCUUCCUGCAGGAUGGCGAUGAUGAGCCGGACGCGAGAUCUGCUGAUGGAGGGGUUCGAGGGGCUGGUGCGGGAGGGGUCGUUCAAGUGGGGCCUCCCCCGCCGCGAGGACGACGACGACGAGGGUCACGACGGCUCGCUCUCCGGCAAGCGCUCCUCAAUUGCUGGCCUCUCCUUCAAGGCCAACUCCGUCGUCGCUCGCUGCUCCCGAAUUCUUAAUGUUUCUAUUAAAGAUCUGCAAACGAACUUUGAUAAGCAAGCAUCUGAUUCUGUAAAGAACCCAAGAAACUAUGCAAGAAACUUUUUGGAGUACUGCUGCUUCAUGGCACUUGCUCAGAUCUCACAAGUUGCAGGGUAUCUUGCUGACAAAAACUUCCGUCGCUUAUCAUUUGAUAUGAUGUUAGCUUGGGAUGUUCCUUCUUCUUCAAGCCAGCACAGCGUUAAGGCUGAGGUGGACAGCACCGUUAGUUUAGAAGCUUUUGCAAGAAUAGCGCCUGCCAUCCCAACCAUUGCUGAUGUAGUAACUUGUUCAAAUCUCUUUGAUGUACUGUCAUGUUCAAGCGGAGGCCGUCUUCCAUUUUCUGUAUAUGAUAAGUACCUUUCAGAAUUGGACAGAGCGGUGAAAAAGAUGAAGACACAAUCUGAGUCAUCGCUCCUAUCAAACCUCCGGUCUCAGAGAGGAGAAAGGAUUCUGGAAGUUGAUGGAACAUUGACAACACAACCAGUACUCGAACAUGUGGGUAUUUCAACAUGGCCAGGAAGAUUAGUACUCACAGACCAUGCUCUUUACUUUGAAGCUCUUCGAGUUGUUACAUAUGAUAAGCCCAAAGCUUAUGAACUUGCAGAAGAUGUAAAGCAGGUUGUUAAACCUGAGCUGACUGGUCCAUGGGGUUCACGUCUCUUUGACAAAGCCGUUAUGUACAAAUCAACAACCUUACCAGAGCCAGUGAUCAUUGAAUUUCCAGAGUUGGCUGGCCAUUCCCGUCGUGAUUAUUGGCUGGCCAUCAUAUCAGAAGUUCUUUAUGCCCAUAGAUUUGUUAGGAAGUUUGACAUAAGUGGAGUUAACAAAGAUGAAACAAUUCUGAAGGCAGCACUUGGUAUUCUACGGUUACAAGCCAUUGAACAGUUAGGCUUCCCAGUGCCAAAUCGAUAUGAAUCUCUUUUGAUGUUCAAUCUAUGUGACAAAGUUCCUGGUGGUGAUUUUAUACUUGAAACACGAGCCAGUGUUAUAUCAUCAAGAACUUCGGAUCGAAGUAACCAACCUGGCACGAGUAGAGGAAUGCAUGCUGUCUUGUCAAACUUGGGUGUGGUAUCACCAGUUAAUAAUGGUGAGAGAUUGUUUGUUGGUGAGAUGGUUGUUGGGGAAAUUAGUUCCUUGCAGAAGGCCGUUAUUGACUCAAUGAACAACUAUAAGAAGGUUGAACUGGCCCAAGCUACGGUUGAUGGAGUCAAAGUUGAGGGGCUGGAUACAAACUUGGCAGUAAUGAAGGAACUGUUAUCCCCAGUAAGUGAGCUUUGGAGGAUUUUGUUACUGCUCACAUCAUGGGAUGAGCCUCUGAAGUCCAUGGUGUUUUGCUUUCUAUUCUCUUACAUUAUAAUCAGGGGGUGGGUGGUCUAUUUUAUGGUCAUGGUGCUAUUGUUUUCAGCAGUAUUUAUGUUUCUCACAAGAUUAACUAAUCAAGGAAAGCCAAUGUCUGAGGUCAAGGUGGUAUCUCCACCUCCAAUGAACACAAUGGAGCAGCUCCUAGCUGUUCAAAAUGCUAUUUCUAAAAUUGAGGAGCUCGUCCAGGAUGCAAAUAUUGUUCUUCUGAAGAUAAGAGCUCUAUUAUUGGCUUUUCCAUCCCAGGGAUAAUAUUUUAGCCUCCUUGUGACAAGCAAGGGAAAGGCUGACUAGAAACUCCCUUCGCCAGAGUCGGCAAUAUGUGGAGUUUUCAACACUGGGUAUGUCCUUGAGUUGUAAGAAACUAAAGACAUCAAGCAAGACUGCUUUCAUUGAUAAGGAUGCUCUUAAGGCCACAGAUAAAGCUAUUGUUGCAUUGGUACUGAUGGCCCUGAGCCUUGCCAUCGUGCCCACAAGAGUGCUUAUGCUGCUGAUGUUUCUGGAGGUGUGCACUAACAACUCACCACCACGGAGAGCAAGCACAGAACGGUGGACCAGAAGGUUGAGAGAGUGGUGGUUCAGCAUACCUGCAGCUCCCGUAGUGGUAGAGAAGGAGACGGAAGACAAGAAAACAAGAUGAUAUCUGUGUAAUAUCCAACGUAAUCUUGUGCCCUGCUUGGCUGAUGCAUUGCGUGAUGUAUCAGCCAAUGCCCACUCUGUACAAAGACCACUGUAUAACAGCAAGGACAAGGAGAACUACCUCCACUUACACAAGAUGCCUCUAAUGCUGUCACCUUUA